rnacentral:rRNA from 1 species
AACUUUCAACAACGGAUCUCUUGGCUCUCGCAUCGAUGAAGAACGCAGCGAAAUGCGAUAAGUAAUGUGAAUUGCAGAAUUCAGUGAAUCAUCAAAUCUUUGAACGCACCUUGCGCUCCUUGGUAUUCCGAGGAGCAUGCCUGUUUGAGUGUC